rnacentral:rRNA from 1 species
GAUGAACGCUAGCGGCAGGCCUAAUACAUGCAAGUCGAACGGUGUCUUCGGACAUAGUGGCGCACGGGUGCGUAACACGUAUGCAACCUACCUUACAUUGGGGGAUAGCCUUUCGAAAGGGAGAUUAAUACCGCAUAAGACAGUAGCUGGGCAUCCAGCAGCUGUUAAAGAUUUAUCGAUGUAAGCUGGGCAUGCGUCCAAUUAGCUAGUUGGUGAGGUAACGGCUCACCAAGGCAAUGAUUGGUAGGGGAACUGAGAGGUCAAUCCCCCACACUGGGACUGAGAUACGGGCCAGACGCCUACGGGAGGCAGCAGUAGGGAAUAUUGGGCAAUGGACGCAAGUCUGACCCAGCCAUGCCGCGUGCAGGAUGAAGGCGUUAUGCGUUGUAAACUGCUUUUAUACAGGAAGAAACGACUCUUGCGAGAGGCAUUGACGGUACUGUAUGAAUAAGCACCGGCUAACUCCGUGCCAGCCGCCGCAGUAACAC